rnacentral:rRNA from 1 species
AUUGAACGCUGGCGGCAUGCCUUACACAUGCAAGUCGAACGGCAGCACGGGAGCAAUCCUGGUGGCGAGUGGCGAACGGGUGAGUAAUACGUAGAGAUCUGCCUUAUAGAGGGGGACAACUUGAGGAAACUUAAGCUAAUACCGCAUAAGCUCUAAGGAGGAAAAGAUGGGACCGGAAACGGCCAUUUGCUAUAAGAUGAAUCUACGUCGGAUUAGCUAGUUGGUGGGGUAAAGGCCUACCAAGGCGAAGAUCCGUAGCUGGUCUGAGAGGAUGAUCAGCCACACUGGGACUGAGACACGGCCCAGACUCCUACGGGAGGCAGCAGUGGGGAAUAUUGGACAAUGGGGGCAACCCUGAUCCAGCGAUGCCGCGUGUGCGAAGAAGGCCUGCGGGUUGUAGAGCACUUUAGGUGGGGAAGAAAGACGGUAGUUGAAUAGGCUGCCGAGUUGACGUUACCCACAGAAUAAGCACCGGCUAACUCUGUGCCAGCCGCCGCGGUAA